UUCUCUACAAGGAAAGAUACCUCCCAGUUCCACUAAACCCAAAAGCCCGAAAUCAAUAAUUUUGCUAGCUCGAGAAAGUUGAAGACCAGCCAAUCUCGUUCUUCUCUCGACAAGGAAGUUUCUUGGGAUAAGAAUGAUGCUACUUGUGUACGGGUCAUCGAUUCGACUUGCCGGGCCGGGCUAACUCUUAUAACACUGGUCUGAUGGUUAAGUUGAUUGUUAAAAGAAUGGAAGCUGGUGUUGGUGAUAAACAAACGUGGGUAUGCUGCAAGAGACGAAAGGUGCCAAGAAGUGGAAACAGCUGGCAAUUACAAUAUUCAUGGAGAAAUGGGAGGAAAGAAUUUCUAACUGCUCUCGGAACUCUCCAGCUUCAGCACCUUGAAACUUGGCAGGUGUAGCUGUAGGUAUAUAGUUGUGAGGCAUGUAAUCAGCAAGCUUGGAGGCAAUAAUUUAUAGGCAAACAAAUAUCAGUAGGUAAGUAGAGUGAAAGAAAAUUUUAUUUUAGUGCAAUUCUAUACAAAAGAAAUUUAGGAAAA